AACGAACGCUGGCGGCAUGCCUAACACAUGCAAGUCGAACGAUUGCCUUCGGGUGAUAGUGGCGCACGGGUGCGUAACGCGUGGGAAUCUGCCCUUAGGUUCGGAAUAACAGCUGGAAACGGCUGCUAAUACCGGAUGAUAUCGCGAGAUCAAAGAUUUAUCGCCUGAGGAUGAGCCCGCGUUGGAUUAGGUAGUUGGUGGGGUAAAGGCCUACCAAGCCGACGAUCCAUAGCUGGUCUGAGAGGAUGAUCAGCCACACUGGGACUGAGACACGGCCCAGACUCCUACGGGAGGCAGCAGUGGGGAAUAUUGGACAGUGGGCGCAAGCCUGAUCCAGCAAUGCCGCGUGAGUGAUGAAGGCCCGAGGGUUGUAAAGCUCUUUUACCCGGGAAGAUAAUGACUGUACCGAAAGAAUAAGCCCCGGCUAACUCCGUG
rnacentral:rRNA from 1 species